rnacentral:lncRNA from 1 species
CCUCUCCCCCGAUCUCUCUCCCUCCGGUUCGCCCCAUUUCCUUCCUCCUCCGAUUGCCGGCGAUUCCGGCCACCCCAAGGCGUGCCACCGGUCAUCCCAGGAUCGCCUCCUCCCUCCGAGCACCCCUGCAUCCUUGGUUUUCCACGAUUUGGCCGGAAAACCACGGAUCGACGAAAAACUCCUCCGGUUGCAGUUUGCCGAUUCCCGGCGAUUCCGGCCACCACCGGCCCCCAUCUCUUCGUCG